GAACAUGCCCGGCACCGGACACCCAACAGCAGCCUGAUCCUCUCAACCCGGCUGCCGUGAAUGCUAAGACAACCCGUACUUGACGUGAUGCUGCCCGCACAAGGCUCGGCGAAACGAACAGAGGCUCCUCUUCACACACAAUGAAAGAAACAACGCCACCAGACAACGCAAUCAGCGAUAGAGACACUCCAGAUUACAGCAAGUAUACAGG